rnacentral:rRNA from 1 species
UACGUAGGGUGCAAGCGUUGUCCGGAAUUAUUGGGCGUAAAGAGCUCGUAGGCGGUUUGUCGCGUCUGCCGUGAAAGCCCGGGGCUUAACUCCGGGUCUGCGGUGGAUACGGGCAGACUAGAGGCAGGUAGGGGAGAACGGAAUUCCCGGUGUAGCGGUGAAAUGCGCAGAUAUCGGGAGGAACACCGGUGGCGAAGGCGGCUCACUGGCUCGUAACUGACGCUCAUGCACGACAGCGUGGGGAUCAAACAGG